GUGAACGCUGGCGGUAGGCCUAACACAUGCAAGUCGAACGGCAGCACAGUAAGAGCUUGCUCUUACGGGUGGCGAGUGGCGGACGGGUGAGGAAUACAUCGGAAUCUACUUUUUCGUGGGGGAUAACGUAGGGAAACUUACGCUAAAACCGCAUACGACCUACGGGUGAAAGCAGGGGAUCUUCGGACCUUGCGCGAUUGAAUGAGCCGAUGUCGGAUUAGCUAGUUGGCGGGGUAAAGGCCCACCAAGGCGACGAUCCGUAGCUGGUCUGAGAGGAUGAUCAGCCACACUGGAACUGAGACACGGUCCAGACUCCUACGGGAGGCAGCAGUGGGGAAUAUUGGACAAUGGGCGCAAGCCUGAUCCAGCCAUACCGCGUGGGUGAAGAAGGCCUUCGGGUUGUAAAGCCCUUUUGUUGGGAAAGAAAAGCAGCAGGUUAAUACCCCGCUGUUCUGACGGUACCCAAAGAAUAAGCACCGGCUAGCUUCGUG
rnacentral:rRNA from 1 species